CCUACGGGUUGCACCAGUGGGGAAUAUUGGACAAUGGGCGAAAGCCUGAUCCAGCAAUGCCGCGUGUGUGAAGAAGGUCUUCGGAUUGUAAAGCACUUUCGACGGGGACGAUGAUGACGGUACCCGUAGAAGAAGCCCCGGCUAACUUCGUGCCAGCAGCCGCGGUAAUACGAAGGGGGCUAGCGUUGCCCGGAAUGACUGGGCGUAAAGGGCGCGUAGGCGGUUUAUGCAGUCAGAUGUGAAAUCCCCGGGCUUAACCUGGGAACUGCAUUUGAGACGCAUAGACUAGAGGUCGAGAGAGGGUUGUGGAAUUCCCAGUGUAGAGGUGAAAUUCGUAGAUAUUGGGAGGAACACCGGUGGUGAGGGCGGCAACCUGGCUCGAUACUGAUGCUGAGGCGCGAAAGCGUGGGGAGCAAACAGGAUUAGAUACCCCCGUAGUC
rnacentral:rRNA from 1 species